ACAUACCUGGAGGAGCAGAGAUGUUAACAUCCCUGAGGGAGUCCGACCGGUUCUGAAGACCUUUAGGAUGAGGUGCUGUUCUGGGGUCUGCGGGAGCUGAAGGGGUGCAGUGUUUGAGGUGGAGGGCCCCCUGGUGAGGGUGGAGUGUGCAGGAAGACAGCUGGAGUCUGAAGAAAUUGAGAGCUACAGCACCCUCACUCUAACUUCAAAGAGCUGGUCCGCUAUAUGGACGUGGAGUUGCCAGAGCAGGCCUACCUCCACCCUCCUCUGACGUUGUUCGUGUGGAGCACGGGCGUUUGGUCGGCUCGCUCUAGUCGGGACCACGUGGUCCAGAGCCUCAUGAACUACACCCCAGCAAGUUAGGGGGGGAGGAAGAGGAGGAAGAGGAUGAGCCAAAACCAAAAU